AAUAUUUACACACACAAACAAAGAACAAAAGUAUUUGCAUUUAUAGAUGAAUAUUGUCUGAAGCAUCUACUUGGAGAAGAAGAAGAAGAAGAAGAUCAAAAAAUGGUGCAGAGUGAUGUUCUCUUGUGAGUUUAUCCGCCCUGUCGUCUUGUCCACCGGCAAAUGUGUACACUCGGAACGCGAAUUGGAAGGCCUUCCACAGCAUAUUGAUCACUGCUGCGUCGUGUUUUGGAUGAUCGACUUCUUUAGGCUGUGUCGUUUCUCUCUUCUCCUGGGAUCGAGGGGAAAUCUUCGAAUCGAGCCAGUACCUAUCGCAUAAAUGAAUUAAUGAUUGUGAACGGCGAUCGAAUUUUUUUUUGGAGAGGAUUAUCAAUGAUCG